rnacentral:rRNA from 1 species
UACGGAGGGUGCGAGCGUUGUCCGGAAUCAUUGGGCGUAAAGGGCGCGUAGGUGGCGCGGCAAGCGUGCGGUGAAAGCUCGGGGCUCAACCCCGAGUCGGCCGUGCGAACUGCUGUGCUUGAGCACUGUAGAGGCAGGCGGAAUUCCGGGUGUAGCGGUGAAAUGCGCAGAUAUCAGGAAGAACACCCGUGGCUAAGGCGGCUCUCUAGUACGGUACUGACGCUGAGACGCGAAAGCGUGGGGAGCGAACAGG